UACGUAGGGCGCAAGCGUUGUCCGGAAUUAUUGGGCGUAAAGAGCUCGUAGGCGGUUUGUCGCGUCUGCUGUGAAAUCUGGGGGGCUCAACCCCCCAGCCUGCAGUGGGUACGGGCAGACUAGAGUGCGGUAGGGGAGAUUGGAAUUCCUGGUGUAGCGGUGGAAUGCGCAGAUAUCAGGAGGAACACCGAUGGCGAAGGCAGAUCUCUGGGCCGUAACUGACGCUGAGGAGCGAAAGCAUGGGGAGCGAACAGG
rnacentral:rRNA from 1 species